AGCGGCGACCCGCCGGCUUCAUCACCGGGCGAUCUCCAUUGAUGAGCUUGGCGAACUCCGCCGCGCAGACCGGCCGGCUGAAGAGGUAACCCUGCAUCUCGUCACACCCCUGUUUGCGCAGCAGACUCCGCUGUUCCUCCGUCUCCACGCCUUCCGCCACGACCCGAAGCCCCAACGCGUGCCCCAUUGCCGUGAUCGCGGUGGUGAUGGCCGCGUCGUCGGGAUGACUGGUGAUCUCGCGGACGAAGGACCGGUCGAUCUUGAGCGUGUCGAGAGGGAAGUGCUUGAGAUAGCUGAACGACGAGUACCCAGUCCCGAAGUCGUCCACCGCCAGGUGCAGCCCCAUGGCGCGGAGCGUGUG
rnacentral:misc_RNA from 1 species